GGAACGAGCGGCGGACGGGUGAGUAACACGUGGGCAACCUGCCUGUAAGACUGGGAUAACCCCGGGAAACCGGGGCUAAUACCGGAUAAUACUUUUCAUCACGUGAUGAGAAGUUGAAAGGUGGCUUUUAGCUACCACUUACAGAUGGGCCCGCGGCGCAUUAGCUAGUUGGUGAGGUAACGGCUCACCAAGGCAACGAUGCGUAGCCGACCUGAGAGGGUGAUCGGCCACACUGGGACUGAGACACGGCCCAGACUCCUACGGGAGGCAGCAGUAGGGAAUCUUCCGCAAUGGACGAAAGUCUGACGGAGCAACGCCGCGUGAGUGAUGAAGGUUUUCGGAUCGUAAAGCUCUGUUGUUAGGGAAGAACAAGUGCCGUUCGAAUAGGGCGGCACCUUGACGGUACCUAACCAGAAAGCCCCGGCUAACUACGUGCCAGCAGCCGCGGUAAUACGUAGGGGGCAAGCGUUGUCCGGAAUUAUUGGGCGUAAAGCGCGCGCAGGCGGUCCUUUAAGUCUGAUGUGAAAGCCCACGGCUCAACCGUGGAGGGUCAUUGGAAACUGGAGGACUUGAGUACAGAAGAGGAGAGUGGAAUUCCACGUGUAGCGGUGAAAUGCGUAGAGAUGUGGAGGAACACCAGUGGCGAAGGCGACUCUCUGGUCUGUAACUGACGCUGAGGCGCGAAAGCGUGGGGAGCGAACAGGAUUAGAUACCCUGGUAGUCCACGCCGUAAACGAUGAGUGCUAGGUGUUAGGGGGUUCCGCCCCUUAGUGCUGAAGUAACGCAUAAG
rnacentral:rRNA from 1 species